UACGGAGGGUGCAAGCGUUAUCCGGAUUCACUGGGUUUAAAGGGUGCGUAGGAGGGUAGGUAAGUCAGUGGUGAAAUCUUCGAGCUUAACUCGGAAACUGCCGUUGAUACUAUCUAUCUUGAAUACCGUGGAGGUGAGCGGAAUAUGUCAUGUAGCGGUGAAAUGCUUAGAUAUGACAUAGAACACCAAUUGCGAAGGCAGCUUACUACACGGAUAUUGACACUGAGGCACGAAAGCGUGGGGAUCAAACAGG
rnacentral:rRNA from 1 species